rnacentral:rRNA from 1 species
GUUGGGGUUAAGUCCCGCAACGAGCGCAACCCCCGUCUUUAGUUGCUACCAUUUAGUUGAGCACUCUAAAGAGACUGCCGGUGAUAAGCCGCGAGGAAGGUGGGGAUGACGUCAAGUCCUCAUGGCCCUUACGGGCUGGGCUACACACGUGCUACAAUGGCGGUGACAAUGGGAUGCUAAGGGGCGACCCCUCGCAAAUCUCAAAAAGCCGUCUCAGUUCGGAUUGGGCUCUGCAACUCGAGCCCAUGAAGUUGGAAUCGCUAGUAAUCGUGGAUCAGCAUGCCACGGUGAAUACGUUCCCGGGCCUUGUACACACCGCCCGUCACACCAUGGGAGUUGGUUCUACCUGAAGGCAGUGCGCUAACCGCAAGGGGGCAGCUGACCACGGUAGGGUCAGCGACUGGGGUGAAGUCGUAACAAGGUAACCGUAAAGGG